rnacentral:rRNA from 1 species
ACCAGCGGAGGGAUCAUUACUGAGUUUACGCUCUACAACCCUUUGUGAACAUACCUAUAACUGUUGCUUCGGCGGGUAGGGUCUCCGUGACCCUCCCGGCCUCCCGCCCCCGGGCGGGUCGGCGCCCGCCGGAGGAUAACCAAACUCUGAUUCAACGACGUUUCUUCUGAGUGGUACAAGCAAAUAAUCAAAACUUUUAACAACGGAUCUCUUGGUUCUGGCAUCGAUGAAGAACGCAGCGAAAUGCGAUAAGUAAUGUGAAUUGCAGAAUUCAGUGAAUCAUCGAAUCUUUGAACGCACAUUGCGCCCGCCAGCAUUCUGGCGGGCAUGCCUGUUCGAGCGUCAUUUCAACCCUCAAGCUCUGCUUGGUGUUGGGGCCCUACAGCUGAUGUAGGCCCUCAAAGGUAGUGGCGGACCCUCCCGGAGCCUCCUUUGCGUAGUAACUUUACGUCUCGCACUGGGAUCCGGAGGGACUCUUGCCGUAAAACCCCCAAUUUUCCAAAGGUUGACCUCGGAUCAGGUAGGAAUACCCGCUGAACUUAAGCAUAUCAAU